AAUUAAUGUAGUUUUACACUAUUUAUAUUCAACGUUUGACUGUUCGUCUUAUCUGAAAAAAAAAGUUUAUGAUUAGUAUUUUUAUUGUUAUUAGGUGAUAAAAUAUGAAUAUUACUUUAUGUGUGACUAAAUUUUUUAAAUAAGACAGAUAGUCAACCAUUGGACAUGAAUCUCCACGGUUGCACUUAUU
rfam:Oryza glumipatula chromosome 3, whole genome shotgun sequence.